GUGGCUUAGAUACCCCGGUAGUCCACGCUGUAAACGAUGAGCACUAGGUGUGGGGGGGUUCAGUCCCUUCCGUGCCGCAGCUAACGCAUUAAGUGCUCCGCCUGGGGAGUACGGCCGCAAGGUUGAAACUCAAAGGAAUUGACGGGGGCCCGCACAAGCGGUGGAGCAUGUGGUUCAAUUCGAUGCAGAGCGAAGAACCUUACCUGGGCUUGACAUGCAGGAAGUAGAAACCGGAAACGGGGACGACCUGUUAAGUCAGGAACCUGCACAGGUGGUGCACGGUUGUCGUCAACU
rnacentral:rRNA from 1 species